CCUACGGGUGGCAGCAGUGGGGAAUAUUGCACAAUGGGGGAAACCCUGAUGCAGCGACGCCGCGUGAGCGAAGAAGUCUUUCGGUAUGUAAAGCUCUAUCAGCAGGGAAGAAAAUGACGGUACCUGCGUAAGAAGCUCCGGCUAAAUCCGUGCCAGCAGCCGCGGUAAUACGGAUGGAGCAAGCGUUAUCCGGAUUUACUGGGUGUAAAGGGAGCGCAGGCGGCCUUGCAAGUCUGAUGUGAAAUACCGGGGCUCAACCCCGGAGCUGCAUUGGAAACUGGGAGGCUGGAGUGUCGGAGAGGCAGGCGGAAUUCCUAGUGUAGCGGUGAAAUGCGUAGAUAUUAGGAGGAACACCAGUGGCGAAGGCGGCUUGCUGGACGGUGACUGACGCUGAGGCUCGAAAGCGUGGGGAGCAAACAGGAUUAGAUACCCGUGUAGUC
rnacentral:rRNA from 1 species